rnacentral:snoRNA from 1 species
AAAACUGUACUUUCAGAAAUAAUUUCUAUAGUUCGUGACUAGAGAAAUUUCUCCGAACAUGUAGAGCAUUGGAAACCACGAGGACAAGGCACAGCGUUCUCUGCGCAUGAAGCCAGCUCUUGGUACUGCUUUGCUGUGGCUGCCAUUUGCCAUUGGUGAUGGUUCUUCUCUUCUCCUGGGAGAGUGGAGGGAGAGGUGCAGACGGAGUGGU